rnacentral:lncRNA from 1 species
GUGUCAGAUCUGUUCCAGAGUAGCGUGCCACUCGCAAUUUUUAAAAAAUUGCAGAUUCAUCUUUGACGGCGAGAGUAAAGGCAACACCUGAUACCGGCAGGUUCUCCUCUCUCGUCGGUUGGCGCGGGGCCAUCUGGCAGCCCCGCAACGGUGCGCGAUAGUACCCUCACCAGUCACCAGAAAAUCCAAUCAGCCGGAGUGUUCCAUCAUCGGCGCCUCAUAGACGAAUCUGGUGCCCCCACAACCAUGCGUCCUUUCCACAUUUUCUUCUUGUGUGCUAUGUUCGCUCAGGCUUGCGUGUGCUACGAAGCCGUAUCCACAAAUGCUGCGACACACUUGUCCAAGGAGACGAUAGGGGUAGGAGCGACCGAACCAAGAAGCUUCUUCCACAAUUUCCAUAUCAACUACCCUUAUCUAUGGAACACUUGGAGUCUGCUGCCAAACCGACCAAGAGGCCAAAGUGAAGACCUCUCGAGCAGUCAGACCAACGUUAACAAUCUCGGUGCAGCUAGUAACGGACACUUGGGAAUCGGGCUAACUAUAGAUUACGGUAAACGCACAGAGGCCGGUCUAAGCCAAGCCGCCACGGACACGACCCAAGAAACAAUCAACGACACAGACGCUCCCAUCUCCGUGACAGAAACAGGCGCGGGAGCGGGCUUAGAAGCGCCUUCAAAAACCAGAGCUACCACCACCGAGACACCGGGCAACCUCAACAAAGAUGCGACUCACCCGCCGCCGAUCAUCAUCCUCGACGCUGCCACAUUUCUGGCGCUGAACCGCGAACAGCUCCAAGCCCCUCAACCAACAGUGAACCUUCAUCAAACCGGCGUCGCCGCCAGCGAGAAAAUCGAGCACACCGAAUACCCGGAUCCGCAAGUGCUGUCGCUUCCCAGUUCACCAUUUGUCUCCGAGUCGCGCGUCAAUUUCUCGUCGGGGAACCUCGUUUUCCAAGUUGAGACCAAGAACUACUCCUCCGAUCUGAGCCUGAGGACCGAAUCGAUUGCUAAACACCCCGAGAGCGCAGCUAAUUUCGACAUCAUCGCAGCGCCCUCCAACGUGGCGGCGAAUUAUACCCCCUCGGAGAAUACCUCAAACACAAACGCGGUAAGCGACGUCUCGGUUUCAGAGAAUGACGUCACAGUGUCUUCAUCAACCACCGUAACCCCGGCGCUUAAAGAUGACCCCGCCAAGGAGUCAGAAACCACCAGCAAAGAUGUUGAGAAAGAUCUUUCAGCUGGACCCGAAGAAGGAAAGAAGAAGCCCUCUGUACUGCAACCCACAACAACAUCCUCGACCCCGACGAAGACAACGUCCAAGACCUCGGAGCCCCCGCUUCUGAUCCGGGCUCACUACUACCCGGUCUCCGGCAACUUCUGGUACCCGCACAACGGGCCGUACCACUCCUACACGACGGAGUACGCGCCACAACCGCAAGUGUACCAGGAGCCGCAGGCGUACCAGAGCCCGCAGGUCUUCUUCACGAACGGCUACUCGGCGACGUCGCAGUACGACCGACCGGCGGAGCUCUACGGGAGGCCGCAGAAGCCGAUCUUCACGCCGGCUGCGGCCGCGCCGGCGGACGGCUACGGCGAAGCCUCCUUCUAUGACUACAAACCGGCGACGAAGCCGGUGUACCUGACCAAGGGCACGACCCCGUACCGGGGGGUGACCAUCUACCUGGAGUCGGAGCCGGAACCGACGACCCCGGUCCCGUCGACCGUGUUCUCGGCCAGCGAGGUGACGACCGAGAAGCCGAGCAUCAACUCCUGGUUCCGACCCCCGCAGUUCAUCAGCAACAUCAUCAGCGUCCUCCACAAGGAUAACGUCGGGAAGCCCAGGGAUAAGCCCAAGCCCACGCCUGCGCCGAAGCCUCCCAGUCGAGCGCUUCAUUGAACGAUUUUCAGACUAAAUAGACCUAGGGUACCUAUCAGUAUAGCUUGACAUUUCAAGCUAAGGAAGAACGCGAUGUGCCUAUUUUAAAUAGACCGAGUUAGGGGGCGUUUAAGUAUGGCGUGAGCUACUAAAGAGUAAGGGGGUACAGGAGAUUCCAGACACUUUGAACGGGGGGUAGAAGGGGGGUCCGAGGGCUUCCCUCAGGAAAUUUUCGAAAUUUUAAAACGUUUAUGCAGUUUGAGUAAAUUUCGUCAUGAAUAAUUAACAAAUAUCGACGGUGAAACUACCAAACCACGUAUCUCGUUUGCGGUGUUUAAAAAUCUACGCUCGCAUUUUAUUUUUUUGAAGUAGACCAAAUCAAUAUCAUUCCUUGAAAUUUUCACAGAAUUUUCUCCGCACGAAGAGGAAAAAUCACAGAGAUUUUCAAGACUGGACGUUACGUAGUUUUUCAUUUGAAAAAUAAAGUAUGACAGGAAGUCUGCAACGUCGCAAACCGAGAUACGUGGUUUGGUAGUUUCACCGUCGAUAUCCGUCUUCUUCUUGCCACUGAUCCUUCCUUCUUCCUUUUUCCCCUUUUCCCUCCGCUGUUUUUUCGAGCGAAAGGGGGACAGUGUACGCCCCCUUUACACCCCCCUCUUGGAUCCGCCUAUGAAAGGGGGUCUGAGUUUGCUUAGCCCGGUAUUAUGAGGGGGAAAAGGGAAGAGGGUGGUUCCUAGGAUUAGCCAAAAAAGUUGCUCACCCCAUACGCAUUUAAGUGAAAUUUAAGUGUUAAGCCAUUAAAGGUUUAAAAACGCAUUUCUCAGAUUGUGACGAUGCAUAUCUACCAACUUAGUUCAUUUUCUAAGAGAAAGUGAUCAACAUUAUCUUUUUUAAAAUUUCUUCCGAUUUUUCUGCGUCUUACAAAAUAUUUUGAAAACGCACAUAUUUGAUACAUAAUUGCUUUAAAAACGUACCCAUAAAAUGUGGAAGUCUUGAAUAAAAAGGUCGAGAUACGCUUUCUUAAACAUUCACAGGCCACUUAUGCCGAAGAGAAUGUCACAUUCAUGCCUGACGGUGCAUUUGAGUGCAUCCUCAGCGUGUAUGUAAACAGACUUCGAGAUAUAGAAAAACUGUUGCCAUGUAACGCAGAUUUCACUCCAAAUUUUCCACAGGCAAAAACGGAUUCAUGACUUCUUAAGAUUACAGAUAUAUUUCAGUUGGGUAAACAUAUUUUCAGAAAACUCAAAAUUUAAACCAAGAAGUUGACAGUUGCAUAUUGUGUUAUUUCAAGAGGAGUGAUAAAAGAUAAUUUUUUCCCAUUCCUCGCAUGUAAAUUGUAUAAAUUACAAUGAUAGUAGUAUCAGCCACUUUUAAUCGUAACUUAAGAAAUACCGUGUUCUGCGCACAAAAAUAGCAAGUCUGGACUUGUGUCAAAGACAGUGUAAGCAUGCUUAGACACGAAUUCACUCAGGCCUGUUAUCUACUCAGGAGAUAAUCGACAAUCUAAGUCACUAUCAACUAUAAUAAGUUAUAUACAAUUUUCAAUACAUGUCUGUUAAUAUAUGUUUGUAGGUGAGCACAAAUACAUUUUUUAACGUUCUUAAAAAAUCGACUUAUUAUUACUCGAUGCAUAUUGGCAAGUGUGUUCGAAUGAAUUCUGACUAAUAUCGGACUAAUUUCGGACUGGUUUACGACUCGUUCAAGAAUAUUCACGGUAAAUUUCAAAAGAAUGCUUUGAUCUCUUGAUUUAAAAACAAAUAAAACAUAACCGGAAAUUUUUAAAUGUUGCAAUGGAAAUAUGCAUUUUUCGACUAUGACAAUCAAUACAUUAAAAAUUCAAAUGAUCGAUUCCUCAUGAACUGACCAAAUAUUCUCGACGUCAUCGAGGAACUGAUGAGUUUAGUUCGAUGCUCUCAAAAAUUCUCAAAUACUGAGUCCAGUGCUUGAUUAGUGAACUGUUAAUGAGAAAUUAAUCACUACUCGAUCGUCCAUCGUCUCCGCCUGUCGGCAAGCCAACUUUGUUACGACCCCCUAUUCGUGAGUCCACGUCCUUGACACAGGUAAGUUUUUUCGCUAUUCCUGUAGAUCGUAACUCUAUAAAAAAGUGAAUAUUAAUUUUUCUUGCAUUUUUUCUCGCAGCUUUAUUCAUCAAGAUGAUCAUCAUAUUUUUAAAAGUUUCUAAUUUUUUCAAAAUGUAGGUUCACGCAAAAAUAACUCGCAUUUAACUGUAUUAUUGUGAGUAUGGCUUGAGAGAAAUUAAAAUAUUUAAAUUGUUAGGUAAUAAUUAAGGUUGGAAACGUUAAAAUUCAUACAAAACUUAACUUCCAAAAAUGGGAAAUAUUGGAAGGUGAUCACAGAUUUACAAUGAAUCCACAAACAAAGAUUUUUUUGGGCCGGAU